UCCCCUAGUAACUGCGAGUGAAGUGGGAAAAGCUCAAAUUUAAAAUCUGGCAGUUUAUUUAUUUGGCUGUCCGAGUUGUAAUCUAGAGAAGCAUUAUCCGUGUCGGACCGUGUAUAAGUCUCCUGGAAUGGAGCGUCAUAGAGGGUGAGAAUCCCGUCUUUGACAUGGACCCCCCGAUGCUAUUGUGAUAUGCUCUCAAAGAGUCGAGUUGUUUGGGAAUGCAGCUCUAAAUGGGUGGUAAAUUCCAUCUAAAGCUAAAUAUUGGCGAGAGACCGAUAGUGAACAAGUACCGUGAGGGAAAGAUGAAAAGAACUUUGAAAAGAGAGUUAAACAGUAUGUGAAAUUGUUGAAAGGGAAACGCUUGAAGUCAGUCACAUUGAUUAGGAAUCAACCCUCACCUUUUUUGGUGAUGGUGCUCUUUCUCAGUCAAUGGGUCAGCAUUGAUCUUGACCGGCAGAGAAAAAACAAUUUGGGGGAAUGUGGCAUCUUUCUUAGAUGUGUUAUAACCCCCGUGAUUGAAUGUGUCGGUUGGAAUUGAGGAAAAUCCUGGCCCUUUUUUUGGGCUUUUUUGGGGAUGCUGGCAAUAAUGGCUUUAAUCGACCCGUCUUGAAACACGGACCAAGGAGUCCAACGUACAUGCGAGUGUUUGGGUGGUGAAAACCCAGACGCGGAAUGAAAGUGAAGACCAGGAUCAUUGAGAGCACUGGUGCCCGGACCUGAACAUGUUUAUGUUAGGGAUCUGCGGUUGAGCAUGUAUGUUGGGACCCGAAAGAUGGUGAACUAUGCCUGAAUAGAGUGAAGUCAGAGGAAACUCUGGUGGAGGCUCGUAGCGAUUCUGACGUGCAAAUCGAUCGUCAAAUUUGGGUAUAGGGGCGAAAGACUAAUCGAACCAUCUAGUAGCUGGUUCCUGCCGAAGUUUCCCUCAGGAUAGCAGAAACUCAUUAUCAGAUUUAUGUGGUAAAGCGAAUGAUUAGAGGCCUUGGGGUUGCAACAACCUUAACCUAUUCUCAAACUUUAAAUAUGUAAGAACAAGUGGUCUCUUAGU
rnacentral:rRNA from 1 species